GGGGGGCAGGGGGAGAGGGCCUCCAGUGGGAAGGAGGUCGGAGACCUGAGACCCCGGUCUCCUCCAGAUCUUCGUGCCCACACCCAAACAAGAUACUGGAAAGAAAAGCCGGAAAACUGGUAUAAAAGUGUUUGACCCCUUUUCUCCUCCAUGUGAAAGGCAAAAUUCUCGCAACGACCUACCAGGCGCUACCCGACCUACCCUCCGCCCAUCCCUGUCCGGGCCUGCAGCCUGGAAACCUGCCUCCGGAGACAUCCCCAUGGGAGCCAGCCGUCGUGCACAGAAAUGUCGGUGAGACUACUGAAUGGUGACCGGCCAUGUGGAGGGAGAAGCCACUUGGAGAACCGGGAUGCCCCAGCCAUCAGCUAGGAUGGCGAUCUUAGGACACGUGAGAAGGCCACGUUGGAUUCUCCAGCCCCACCCCAACACCCAACAAAUACCACACAGGGCGUCCACACUGAGCCCUGCCCAAAUCCUGUGUUUUCCUCCCAAAUUCUUCUUCUUAACGUUUAUUUAUUUUUGAGAGAGAGAGACAGAGCGUGAGUGGGUAAGGGGCAGAGAGAGGGAGACACAGAAUCAAAAGCAGGAUCCAGACUCUGGGCUGUCAGCACAGAGCCCGUCGCGAGGCUUGAACCCACAAACCGUGAGAUCAUGACCUGAGCCGAAGGCGGACGCUUAACCGCCUGGGUGCCCCAGCCCCAAUUCUUGAUCCACAGACUCCUGAGCAAAGAAAUGGUUUGUGUGUCAGGCCACUAAGUCUUGGGUUGAUUCGUUAUGCAGCGAUAGACAACCAAAACGCUGUCUCUCCUCUGGGGAUGCUAAGCUGAUGAGGCACAGGCCUAGGGCUACUCCGUGGGGUGCCUGAGAAUAAAACCAACACAAGGGAGAGGCUGAGACACGGAGGUGAGUCCCCGAUCCCGCUGGCCUGAAAUCCUACCUGUGUUUGCGCUGUUCUGUCAUGUGAGUCAACAAAUUCCUGUUCUGUAAGCUGGUUUGAGUAGGGUUUCCGUCACUUAUAACCAAAAAAAAAAAAAAAAAAAAAAAAAAAAAAAAUCCUUAUGAGGGGAGAGGAGCUCUUGGUGAAAGAAAUACUGAGUCCCACUGGUGUCUGGUAGGGCCGGGACCUUGAACUCCAAUAGAAUCCUUCCGGGAGUGGGGCGCCUGGGUGGCUCAGUUGGUUAACUUCAGCUCAGGUCAAGAUCUCACGCGGUCUGUGGGUUCAAGCCCCCGUCAGGCUCUGUGCUGACAGCCGGGGCCUGGUUCAGAUUGUGUCUCCCUCUCCCUCUCUGCCCUUCCACUGCUCAUGCUCUGUCUGUCUGUCUCUCUCUCUCAAAAAUAAGUAAUUUUUUAAAAAAUGAAGAAACCUUCUGGAAGCACACAAUCCCCAGGCCUCCUUUUCUGUAUGGAAUGCUUAACCGACUGAGCCAUCCAGGCACCCCAUAGAGAUCGGUUCUGAUGUUGGUAAGGAUAAAGGAUUCGGUCCAACUGCCACCAGGUGGAGGAGUCUGAGCACUUCAGGUGUGGGAUCUGGCUGCCAAACGAACCCAUCAGUGCCAGGCCACCCCAGCACAGGUGGAGACGAGGCACAGCCCAGUGUUCUCCACACGCUGCAUCAUGCUCCUUACCCCUCUCUGUGGUCCCACCCUUUCCCCCGGGCACCUGGGGUCCACCUUUGGGUCCCCCCUCCGCUCCUCUCGAAUUUGUCUCAGGACAUUCACACCCAGCAAAAAAUGGUGACAGUUUAUAGUCAUCAAGACGACACGUUAUUAACAAAAGAACUGACACCAGGAUCAACGGGAGAGAAUACGGAGCCCAGAAAUAGACCCACACGGAUAUAUUCAACUGAUGUUAACCAAAAGAGCAAAGGCAGUUGGGGGGAGAAAGGAUACUCUUCUCAAUAAAAGUUCCUGGCACAGUCGGACAUCCAUGUUUAAAAAAGGGGCGCCUGGGUGGCUCGGUCAGUUGAGCGUCCGACGACUUCGGCUCAGGUCAUGAUCUCACAGUCCUUGAGUUCGAACCCCGGUGAGUUCGGAGUCCCACGUCGGGCUCUGUGCUGACAACUGGGAGCCUGGAGCCUGCUUCGGAUUCUGUGUCUCUCUCUCUCUCUGCCCC